rnacentral:rRNA from 1 species
GAUGAACGCUGGCGGCGUGCCUAAUACAUGCAAGUCGAGCGAACAGACGAGGAGCUUGCUCCUCUGACGUCAGCGGCGGACGGGUGAGUAACACGUGGAUAACCUACCUAUAAGACUGGGAUAACUUCGGGAAACCGGAGCUAAUACCGGAUAAUAUAUUGAACCGCAUGGUUCAAUAGUGAAAGACGGUUUUGCUGUCACUUAUAGAUGGAUCCGCGCCGCAUUAGCUAGUUGGUAAGGUAACGGCUUACCAAGGCAACGAUGCGUAGCCGACCUGAGAGGGUGAUCGGCCACACUGGAACUGAGACACGGUCCAGACUCCUACGGGAGGCAGCAGUAGGGAAUCUGCCGCAAUGGGCGAAAGCCUGACGGAGCAACGCCGCGUGAGUGAUGAAGGUCUUCGGAUCGUAAAACGCUGUUAUUAGGGAAGAACAAAUGUGUAAGUAACUAUGCACGUCUUGACGGUACCUAAUCAGAAAGCCACGGCGAACUACGU